GGAGGCCGCGGCUGAGGCCGCCUGGACACCCAGCAGGCAGCUCCCGCCCAGGGACAGCGAGGGGGCCCCCAGGUGGGAACCGCAAGCUUGGCCCGGCACCCCCAGACGGCCUCUGAGGACCCGGCGGCCACAAGAACACCUGGGCCUGAAGACCACUGGGGUCCACCCGCUUCACCCUCUUCCGAGCUGGGGAUCCUGUCCUGUCCGAGACAGGGGGACCCUGUCGGAGCUGGGGGUCCUGUCCUGUCCGAGAUGGGGGGACCCUGUCAGAGCUGGGGGUCCUGUCCUGUCCAAGAUGGGGGGACCCUGUUGGAACUGGGGGGACCCUAACCAAGCUGGGGGUACCAUGUCCAAGCUAGGGGACCCAGUCUGAGCAGGGGUAGGUACACAGCAGGGCUGACCCAAGGGAGGUGUCAGGUCACUGCGAGGGGGCAAUCUCUGCCCAGAACAGAGGGAGCUGCAUUCCUGGGGGGUCCGUCUCCCUGAGCCCACACCCCCGUUACCAACAGCAGCACAGAAAUCACACUCCCGUUGCCAUGGCUCCCGAGUGUUAACGCAGGUUGCUAUGAGCGUCACAGCCCCCCAGUCUCAUGUCUGCAGGGAGCACCCCAUACCUCCUUUGGGGUCCCAUCUGAGCCUUCCGGCUCGAGAGGAGAACGGGAAAGGGGAGCUGGACCCACGGGGGGAAGGGAGUGGGCCAGGCAGGUGUCCUGGGGUACCCAGGGGACUCGGCCAAGGGGUCCUAGGUCGCAGCCGUAGAUGAGCCUUGCCUGUGACAAGCCCCGGCCACAGGGCGCGGCCUGACUCAGCAGGAGCCAGCCGGGACCCGGCCAUGGGGCAGACACUCGCUGCCUGUUCUCCUGCACCGUCUUCAGAAUCGAUCAGCAAUUCCUACAUCCGGCAGCGCAGUAACCACGGAGCCUGCGUGCCCUGACCUGCCUCGGGGCCCAGGCCCCGCACGGCUCAAACCCGAGCCCCUUGCCCCGGGGCCCGACACCCGCUGGCUGUCAAGGAUCAGGGACCAGGUGCUCCUGGGGUCAAGGCCUGGUCAGCAAGUGGCAGCCCCAGGACUCUGCCAGAGGCACCACGAAAGGGACACCCAGGCUGACACAAGGACUGUGGGCACAGGAAAGCCUGCCUGAGGAUGAAGCCGCACGGAAGAGAGCCACACACAGAAACUGGGGAAGAGCUUUGAAGUGCACCUGGACGCAGCCAUGCCUGAAGCCUCCAAGAGUUCCGGGUCACGUGAGCCCACUACUCAAGGCUCUUUGGAUUUGGUUUUUGGCCCUUGCAAAUAAAAGACCCCUGACCUUUGCGGGCUGUGGGCAGCUGAGGGACACGGGUGUGUUCUUGCUCUGGG